UACGAAGGGGGCUAGCGUUGCUCGGAAUUACUGGGCGUAAAGGGCUCGUAGGCGGCCAACUAAGUCAGACGUGAAAUCCCUCGGCUUAACCGGGGAACUGCGUCUGAUACUGGUUGGCUUGAGUGUGGGAGAGGGAUGCGGAAUUCCAGGUGUAGCGGUGAAAUGCGUAGAUAUCUGGAGGAACACCGGUGGCGAAGGCGGCAUCCUGGACCAUUACUGACGCUGAGGAGCGAAAGCCAGGGGAGCAAACGGG
rnacentral:rRNA from 1 species